UGCGCAGGCGGGUUUGUAAGUCAGUGGUGAAAUCCUGCCGCUUAACGGUAGAAUUGCCAUUGAUACUGCGAAUCUUGAGUAUGGUUGAGGUAGGCGGAAUGUGUAGUGUAGCGGUGAAAUGCAUAGAUAUCACACAGAACUCCGAUUGCGAAGGCAGCUUACUAAGCCAUAACUGACGCUGAGGCACGAAAGCGUGGGGAGCGAACAGGAUUAGAUACCCUGGUAGUCC
rnacentral:rRNA from 1 species